AAGAAGACCAUAGGUAAAUAAUUUCACCAAGUUCUGAUUGUUUGUUCAAUAACUUUUUCAUCAACCUCAUUUCUCGUCCUACACACCCCAAUUUAUUUUCGGACUUUGGAUUGAGUAAAUGAAAGGAAAAUCAAGGGACGUAAGGAAACAGGGUGUGCAAAAGGAGAAAAAAGGAAGAUGUCUCAUUAUUUGUUUAUUAUGUUUUUGUUUCACUUUUUUAAUCGGACUUUGUGUGUGUGUGUGUAUUUUAUAUAUAUAUAUAUAUAUAUACACACACACAUAUGUAUUACCUGUACAAAGACCAAAGGAGAGAAGCCUAGAUCAGGACCAAGGACUUGAUUAUAAGCAAGACCAUUAAAAGCAGAAGAGUCCUCAAUGGCCAUGGCCAACAAUUCAUCAACGGUUUCCUCACAAUGCGCUUCUACAAUUCUCACACCGCUAUCGUUACACCUGAUGAAGGGCCUGCCUGUUUCAGAUCUCCGAAUCCUCCCGGAGGCGGUGAAGUAGAGUUGCAGCAGUUGGAAUAUAGGUUUCUUCAAGUCGUAUAUUGUAAGUCCCUCAACUGCCUCGCUCUUAAAUAAGUAGACCCCUUUGAUGUAGUGAAGCUUCAUGGCCAAGUCCAUGUCGGUGAGCUCAUGGACCUUGUUUCGAUCACUUGUGACCGUAGCAGGUACAACUGACGAUAGCCUCGUGCCGGAAUUGUUGAGGCAAUUGAUGUUGGUUGACCCCAUUUCUUUAGCUAGAGAUCAAACAAAAAUGAAUGGA
rnacentral:lncRNA from 1 species